rnacentral:rRNA from 1 species
UACAGAGGUCUCAAGCGUUGUUCGGAAUCACUGGGCGUAAAGGGUGCGUAGGCUGCGGAGUAGGUCGGAUGUGAAAUUUGGGGGCUCAACCCCCAACUUGCAUCUGAUACUGCUUCGCUAGAGACCUGGAGAGGAGUUUGGAAUUCUCGGUGUAGCAGUGAAAUGCGUAGAUUUCGAGAAGAACGCUCGCAGCGAAAGCGAAACUCUGGACAGCGUCUGACGCUGAGGCACGAAGGCUAGGGGAGCAAACGGG